rnacentral:rRNA from 1 species
GGCCAGACUCCUACGGGAGGCAGCAGUGGGGGAUAUUGCACAAUGGGGGGAACCCUGAUGCAGCGACGCCGCGUGGGUGAAGAAGCGCCUCGGCGCGUAAAGCCCUGUCAGCAGGGAAGAAAAUGACGGUACCUGAAGAAGAAGCCCCGGCUAACUACGUGCCAGCAGCCGCGGUAAUACGUAGGGGGCAAGCGUUAUCCGGAUUUACUGGGUGUAAGGGGGCGCAGACGGCGAUGCAAGCCAGGAGUGAAAGCCCGGGGCCCAACCCCGGGACUGCUCUUGGAACUGCGUGGCUGGAGUGCAGGAGGGGCAGGCGGAAUUCCUGGUGUAGCGGUGAAAUGCGUAGAUAUCAGGAGGAACACCGGUGGCGAAGGCGGCCUGCUGGGCUGCAACUGACGUUGAGGCCCGAAAGCGUGGGGAGCAAACAGGAUUAGAUACCCCCGUAA